rnacentral:snRNA from 1 species
GUGCUCAUUUCAGCAGCACACAUGCUAAAAUUGGAACAAUACAGAGUUUUAGCACAGCCCCUGUGCAAAGAUGACAUGCAAAUUCUUGAAGCAGUCCAUAUUUAA